rnacentral:rRNA from 1 species
GGCUCUUUGGUGUUAGAAAUAAAGAGUCGGACCUGCCCGGUGAAUGUAAUAAACGGUUGCAACGAGAGUUGUACGAAGGUAGCGUGAUAAGUUGUCUUUUAAUUGGAGAAUGGAAUGAAGGGUUUGACGUGAAAUUUCUUUUUUUAUAAAAGGUACUAAAGUUUCCUUCUAAGUGAAAAGGCUUAGGUUUUUGAAAAAGACGAGAAGACCCUGUCGAACUUGAUUAAGAAUUACUGGUUAUAGGUAUUUGGAAGUUUUAUUGGGGCAAUAUUAACUUAAAAAACAGUUAAUUUAUUCAUAGAUCCUUUUUGAAAGAAAGAGGAAAAAGUUACCGCAGGGAUAACAGCGUUAUUUCUUCUAAGAGA